UCUUUCCACCGGUGCAAUGGUCAGGCCGCGCGUCGUCAGGACUGCAGAAGGACAGCGCGCGUAUGAAGAGCGACGGAGGGAGCAGCGACGCGAGUGUGAUCGUCCACGGCGUGCGGAUGCUAAUGCAGCGGCAUCCGACGAGCGUACCCGCGAGACGGCAGGUAAGCGACCAGCGAGACCCACGGAAGCACACCACGUCAAGGGGUCAACGUGGGUGAGUUCAAGGGCGCGAACGCGAGGUUCCCAAGAGGCUUACUUAAUCGUCAUUUCGACCCUGCCUGCAAAGUCUGCGACAGACUAUGGUUCGGUAACGACCUCACUACGAUCGCUGCCGUGAGGGACGACGAGAAGCGGCAACGUGCGUUGGAGGUGUUAACGCGGUGCUUCCCUGCAAGUUGGUGGACUCGGAGCGAAUAAAGAAAUGGGAAGCUCAAGCAAAGCGGGAUCGGUGGAACGCAACUGACAGCUCAUACAUCUGCGAGCUCCACAUUGAAGAGGACUAGUUUGAGAGAAAUCGACAGUAUGGACGCCGCCUGUUAAAGUCUACAGCUCUGCCCACGCUGUUCGACUUUAGACCUCAACCUAAGCGAAGGAAACUCCCUAUGAGACGUACUGCCGAAUGUGGACCUGCUGGCGAGGAAGGCACCAACUCCUCCUCAACAGUUGCUACAGACGCUGACCAAGAAGACUCCGCAGAACUGAGUCGAGAUAGUGCCUCUUCUUUCGAAGAAAAUGCAGUCGAGCAUAA